rnacentral:lncRNA from 1 species
ACACACUUAAAUCUUUGCUCGUCCUUGAGCAAGUUGAACCGCACUUCUACGACUAAUCGUUUGAUGCAUUACCCUAUUUAUGUAACACCUGCCAUUAUAAAAGAACAACCUAAGCAGUGUAAUAGCCACACCUCAUGUGAAGACUCUAAUGCCAUGCCAUAUGUACUCUAACAGAGGUGAAGAAUUGUUUUUUCUUCCUGAGUUAAAUGCCCUCACAUCACAUUUUUGAGAGAAGUUCCACACACAUGAAAUCAAACAUCAAAGAACUAUAGAUAGAACGAAUUCACUCACUCUCAGCAAAGAACAUUCACAUGCCACACAAAUACACCAUAAGCUUGCCUUUAAUGUAAUACUCUACUAAUCGAGUUGUUCAGUCUAAUAUCAAUAGGGCUUCAUUUGGUUGGUAUAGUGACUAACCUCCCUAAGAACUUUUAAUACAAUAGUUCCCCUUAUUCUAAUUUCCAUGUUCAACCCAAUCAUUCUUCCACACUUGUUUCAAAAGCUACCCCCCACUUUUCCUAGGUGCAACUGGCUUUUUCUUGCCAUUCAAUAUUUUAGGACUACCUAUUUACAAGGUCCUUCUUUUAUUAUUCAAAAUACUUUUUAAGAACCAUCGCACCAUUCAAGUAUUUUCCUAAUUUUCCUUUUCCCACUCCAUUACCACACCACACUCUGACUUUUAUGUGAUCUUUAACGAGUCAAGUACUUCAAGGAGGUAUCAAAAAGUCAAGCUAUUCAAACACAGGGAUGUAGGUUAUUGUAAGGUGACCAAAGAAACAGUCUUCAGGAUCGAAGGGGUUAACUAUGGUAAUAUGUAUAGGUGGAUUCAUAAUUAUAUAGGCUACACAAUGAAACGCCUAAAUCAUCUCUAAGACCAAACAUCUUCUAUUUCGCUUUGCACACAUACAAGGCAAGUGCUAGGUUUCGCAUGCAAGCAUAGAAUAUAUGUAUUACCUCACACACACUUGGUAUGUAAAUCAUUCCAAAGUAGUUUUUCAACACACUCAUGUGAGCGUUCAAGUAAGACAAGGUGUGCAACAUUAAUGCAUAAGAUUAAGAUUCUACAAGUGAGCCUAGACGUCGCACCCUCAAGUUCGUAUUAGUUAUUUGCAGGUAUGUACACUGCGGGAUGCAUUCUUGCCCUCAUCCAUAUUAGCCCAAGAGAGUCCUAAGGGCCAUUAAAAAAAUUAAAGGAAAAUCUACCUAAUCCGGUUGAAGAAAAGCCCUUGGAAAAGAACCAUGGUCAAAACAAAAACUAAGGGAGAAUUACUACACUACCUAAAAAGAAAAAAAAAGAAAAAAUCUUUUUGACUUUAUUUAUUAGACUACUUCCCUCAAGGAUACUGUCUAAGUGUUCCGUUAUCAGGAAUAAUCUCCUACAUUUUCUAGAUUUUUUUUAUAUACGACCCUAGCCCUCAAGAAACCCGUCGACAAGUGUCCAUCAGUGGGCCAAGUCAGUGACGUAUAAGAUAAGUACAAACUAUUAUGCAUAAAAACAGAGGCGCAUAAUUACAACAUACUUAAUACAUAUAUACACUAACAAUACACAACACUAAAUCAAGCAUGUGUCCCCAUGUCAUAAAACAAAUAAAGUGCAUAAGGGUAAGAAAACAUCCCUGGUCAUGACUUAGAGUGGGAGGCGGUGUUGAAUAUGACUUCUUCAUCAUUUAUUCUCAUUUUUAGUUCCCUAGUCCAACAAUCGAUCAAUGCUCUACUAGUCGCCAAAAAUGGUCUACCCAGUAUGAGAGGUAUCUCCUCAUCUACCUGGUUGUCCAGGAUAACAAAGUCUGCUGGGAACACGAACUUCCCCACUUGCACCAACACAUCAUCAAGAAUACCACUUGGCAUUUUCUCUGUGCGAUCAGCCAGCUGUAGUAGUAUAGAAGUUGGUCUAGCUCUGCCGAUGCCCAAUUUAGUGUACACAGCCAGCAUAUCAGAUUUAUGCUGUCCUCCCGAUUCCAUAAGGCCUUUGCAAAAGCGUAGCUCCCAAUUGUGCACGGAAUAGUGAAACUACCUGGCUCAGAUAUCUUUUGAGCCAUCAACGUGUCACUACUGCGUUGUAGGUCUAUGGGAGAGUCACAGUGGAAAAAUCUUGAAAAUCAAACUUUCGAGACAUUAAAUCUUUCAUUAUCUUUGCAUAACUGGGCAUCUCCCUUAAAGCAUCCAUAAAAGGAAUAUUCAACUAAAUCCGACGCAGAAUCUCCACAAAUUUCUUGUAUUGAACUUCCUUCAUUUGAUUAACCAGUCUCUG